rnacentral:misc_RNA from 1 species
AAGUCGUAACAAGGUUUCCGUAGGUGAACCUGCGGAAGGAUCAUUAUUGAAAUAAAACUGAUGAGUUGCUGCUGGUUCUCUAGGGAACAUGUGCACGCUUGUCAUCUUUAUAUUUCCACCUGUGCACCUUUUGUAGACUUGGAUAUCUUUCUGAAUGCAUUUUCAGGUUUGAGGAUUGAUUUGCUUGUCUGUCCUUACAUUUCCAGGUCUAUGUUUAUUCAAGUACACCCUAAUUAUGUUAUAGAAUGUAAUAAAGUGAGCCUUUAGCGCUUAUAAACCUUUAUACAACUUUCAGCAACGGAUCUCUUGGCUCUC